UACAGAGGUCCCGAGCGUUGUUCGGAUUCAUUGGGCGUAAAGGGUGCGUAGGCGGCUUUCUAAGUCUGAUGUGAAAUUCCGGGGCUCAACCCCGGAACUGCAUUGGAUACUGGGAGGCUAGAGUCCUGGAGAGGAAACUGGAAUUUACGGUGUAGCAGUGAAAUGCGUAGAUAUCGUAAGGAAGACCAGUGGCGAAGGCGAGUUUCUGGACAGGUACUGACGCUGAGGCACGAAGGCCAGGGGAGCAAACGGG
rnacentral:rRNA from 1 species